UAUGUUGCCCAGCUGCGGUGCCCUCUGGGUCCCCUUCCGGUGCCCCAUGCACCGCCUGCGCCUGCUCAUCCAGCUGCCUCAGCUCGACCGGAAGGCUCGCACGGAGCUCUCCAGACGCAGGUGGCGGAGCAGCAGGACCUCGGAGGACGCCUGGUCCCGUCCACCGCACCGACUCCCCAAUGCCUGCUGCAAAUCCCACAGCUGCGAGGCCGCCUCCGCCGCCUUCUCGAAAUACUGGGAAGAGAGCCCCGCCCAUCAACCUCGACCAUCCUGCCCCGCCCGCCUUCGAAGCCACCGCUAAUCAGAAAUCACGUGUACUGUGCCCGCCUCCGGAGCCACGCCCACAACCACGCCCCUUCCGCGGGGCUCCCUCACUGCGCAGCUGCUUGCAGUAUCAGCAGGCGUGUCUGCAGCUGCUGCCUGUUCCGUGUUGCGCUGCCCGGUUGCGGAGCAGCGGCCACGCUCCCUGGACAGCCUCCGUCCGCUCGCGGGGAUCAGGCUGCGUCGGGGGCCCCUGGGCGCUGAGGUCGCGGCCCCUUUGCAAGAGGGCGCCUGCUAUCUGGCUGCGGUCCCGGCCCAGCGCCAUCUGCUCCAGCAACCCCGAAGGCCCCUCGAGCCAGGCCGCCUCCUCACAGCUGUGCAGCAGCUCUGCCGGCCCCAGAGCCUGCUCCAGCAGGGCCCUCCUCGGGACAGCAAGGCCACUGAGAACCUGGGGAGUCCAUCGGGGUCAGACCCUGCCCUUAGACGGGAUUUUUCUUUUCUCUGGGUGACUCGACAGGUAAGACAGGCCUUGCAGCUGAGGGUCAGUGUAGAGGAAGCUGCCAGGCCAGCAGUACCUUAGCUGGGGCAGGAGAUAAUUCGGGUUACAGAGAAGUUCCAGGAAGGUUAGGUAGUUGGGGUGGGGAGGGCUCUUACUGGGCCCUGACAAAAGACACCAGUCUCUGGUGGAGCUGAGCCAGCCGCCUGGCCUUGGCCUGCAGCAUCUCCACACUUGUGCCAAGGGCGGGGUCCAGCUCUGCUGUCCAGUGGGCAAGGUGGUUCACAUGGGCCCCUUGGGCCGAGACCUGGGCCUCCAGCAGGUCAUGCCUCUGAAACAGCUCUGCUACUUCUGCCGGCUGCUGUCUUCCUGCCCUCCUUAUUCUCCCGUCCUGGCAGCCCCAGUUGAAGUCCUGCUUCUUCCAGGAGGUCCCUCCCCACCUCCUCAGCCCAGGGAUGGCCAAGUUCACUUCUCUUCCUACUAAGACCUUGGUGCCGUGUCUCGUGUGACGUGAGCCCUGAGAACAGACUGCACAGAGAUCAUGGAGGUGGUUGUUUGUGAGGUUGUUGGAUGGGGCUGGGGACUGCUCUUCUUUCUCCUUACCUCAUGGGCAGCUAAAGCCAUUGCCUGUUCCACAAGGGCCAGUUCCUCGCCUGCUGAUUAAUUGCAGGCCCUGGUAAAAUGAGAACCCUGCUGGUCAAUACCAAGUUGGGAUUAUUUGUGUUGCAGGUAGCUUCCUUUCAAGUUGAACUGGAUUAAACAAUAGAAAAGGGAUGCAUUGGUUCACAUAACUGAAAAAUCCAGCAGGAAGACUUCAGGGGAAGGGUGAUCCAGGAACCCAAAUGAUGCCUGUCACCCCAAGUUUGGGUUUCCUGUGCCCUCCUCAGUGUCUCCUUUGUCUUCAUGCUCCACAGAGUGGCUUCUGGAGCCUGACCUCCCUCCUCUCCCAAUCAAGACCCAAACCUCAAGGCUCGGUGGGAAGGGGCAGUGUUCUGCAGAGGGUCUGUGGGGCCAGGGGGCACAGGGCUGUGCACACUGGGGAGGCAUGGCAAGAGGCAGGGUGCUUCGCGCCAGCCAGGGGUUCCACCCUUGCCCUACGGCACCUUUGGGUGCACCCCAGGCAGGCCCAUGUCUCCUGGAACUUUGUCCCCAGCCUCUGAAGUGCUCACCCCGCAAUCCCUCCAGUCCUGGCUUCCCACCUGCUGCGGUGGGGCUGAAGCCUCCCCCAGUCUCUGUCCCCAGCUGGGUGUCCCAGAUAGAGCCUCUCCAUGAAGGGUGUGGAGGUGAGGGCGAGUGAGUGGGUGGAGGAGGCACGGCCCUCCCGGGCUUCUCCCUCCUUCCAGGAGUCCCAGGUGAUCCAUACUUUACUCCUGUGACACCUGGCACAGGCACCUGAACACAGAGCCACCAGGAAGGUGCGGGGUGGUCAGUUUAUUGAUCAGUAGACUGUGUCUUCUUGGGUUUCCCAGUUCUAAAUAAGAUUACAGAAAAAAAAAGGAAUGGUGUUCUAAUUGUGAUUUGCUACUUUUCUCAUUUCUUCUAUAGUUAAUACAGGGAUUGGAAUUCUUCUGUAAGAAAGAGCUGCCCAACUGGAUUUGUAUUUUUAAUUGUAAUAGGAUAUUUAAGAUGCUACAAACUUAGAAUUUAAAGAUGUAAACCAUGUUAAAAUGAUUCUAAAUACCAAUGUCAAAGAAAAGAAAACCAAGUUGCUAACUUGUCUCAGAAAAUAUAAUGAGUUUAAGAAGGAAAAUAGUGCUUAUGAUUUAUAGAACUGUUUUGACUUUUGACUUGAUAUUGACUUCAGAAGGAAAUUUAAAUUAAAAAAAGUUUCACAUUUGGACUUUAAA